AAUAAGAACACCCAAAACUGAGAAAAGGGAAGGUAUAAGGAAAUAAAUAUGCAGGAAUCAGCAAGGGAGGACCUCCAUGGCUACCGACCAUAGAGCAGAGCCACCAGUUCAGCACAUCUGAUCAACGUCGAUGAAGACGUCAAGCAGAACAGAGCAGCAAAGAGACCCAAACAACAAAAUCCCUCGCUAGAUCGAAACCAAUCAACCAAAAAAAUUAAACAAAUCAUUCAAAACGAAGAGAGGAAUCUGCUGAACAGCAUAAAACCAAACUGACUGCACUAAAUAAAACAGUAACCAACAAAAGGAAUCAGCUUGGGUAAUCAUCAAAUUGAUUAUACUCAUCAAAGAUGAGAUAAAAUUAGUUAACACUCCACCAAAGCAAAGCCACACAAUCAACAAACCAAACCCAAUACAGAAUCAGAAGAGCACCAGAACCAGAUCCAAACAGCUUAAAACGAAACCAACUGAUACCCCCUACUAACAUGAACAAGAGAAAAUCAGCUAGUAGGCAAUUGGACUUUGCCAAAGACUAGCAAGAAGGUAGUUUUCGGAGAGGCACACUUGGAGACGCCAGUUAGUCUCAAAGUAGAACCAAGUAUAAGAAGAAAAAGGCUAUAAGAGAGUGGGUGGGCCGAUUAUGGGGCACGAUAGAGAGAUGGAAGACCAGAUGAGGAUGGGGGGAGCCAUGGACACACCAUAUCUAUUCUACAAGGUCAAGAACAGCAACAACCAAACCUAUACUCAAGAAACCCCAAUCCAGAUCAGAUCCAAACCCUCCAGCAAAGGGAGUGGGUGGGCCACAAGUGAGGGCUAAAGAUCAGAGGAAGAGGGAGAGCAGACGAUGAAGAAACAGAAUUGGACAUCUUGUUGGAAAUCUGCUGUAUU
rnacentral:lncRNA from 1 species